rnacentral:rRNA from 2 species
AUCAGCUUGUUGGUGAGGUAAUGGCCCACCAAGGCGAUUACAGGUACGGGCUCUGAGAGGAGAAGCCCGGGAGAUGGGUACUGAGACAAGGACCCAGGCCCUAUGGGGCGCAGCAGGCGAGAAAACUUUGCAAUGUGCGAAAGCACGACAAGGCUAAUCCGAGUGAUUUCUGCUAAAGGAAUCUUUUGUUAGUUCUAAAUAUACUAGUGAAUAAGGGGUGGGCAAGUUCUGGUGUCAGCCGCCGCGGUAAAACCAGCACCUCAAGUGGUCAGGAGGAUUAUUGGGCCUAAAGCAUCCGUAGCCGGCUCUGUAAGUUUUCGGUUAAAUCCAUGUGCUCAACGCAUGGGCUGCCGAAAAUACUGCAUAGCUAGGGAGUGGGAGAGGUAGGCGGUACUCGGUAGGAAGGGGUAAAAUCCUUUGAUCUAUUGAUGACCACCUGUGGCGAAGGCGGUCUACCAGAACACGUUCGACGGUGAGGGAUGAAAGCUGGGGGAGCAAACCGGAUUAGAUACCCGGGUAGUCCCAGCUGUAAACGAUGCAGACUCGAUGAUGCAUUGGCAUAAUAGCCAGUGCAGUGUCGCAGGGAAGCCGUUAAGUCUGCCGCCUGGGAAGUACGUACGCAAGUAUGAAACUUAAAGGAAUUGGCGGGGGAGCACCACAAGGGGUGAAGCCUGCGGUUCAAUUGGAGUCAACGCCGGG